AGCGGCGGAUGGGUGAGUAACACGUGGGGAACCUGCCCCUAAGUCUGGGAUACCAUUUGGAAACAGGUGCUAAUACCGGAUAAUAAAGCAGAUCGCAUGAUCAGCUUUUGAAAGGCGGCGUAAGCUGUCGCUAAGGGAUGGCCCCGCGGUGCAUUAGCUAGUUGGUAAGGUAACGGCUUACCAAGGCGACGAUGCAUAGCCGAGUUGAGAGACUGAUCGGCCACAUUGGGACUGAGACACGGCCCAAACUCCUACGGGAGGCAGCAGUAGGGAAUCUUCCACAAUGGACGCAAGUCGGAUGGAGCAACGCCGCGUGAGUGAAGAAGGUUUUCGGAUCGUAAAGCUCUGUUGUUGGUGAAGAAGGAUAGAGGUAGUAACUGGCCUUUAUUUGACGGUAAUCAACCAGAAAGUCACGGCUAACUACGUGCCAGCAGCCGCGGUAAUACGUAGGUGGCAAGCGUUGUCCGGAUUUAUUGGGCGUAAAGCGAGCGCAGGCGGAAAAAUAAGUCUAAUGUGAAAGCCCUCGGCUUAACCGAGGAACUGCAUCGGAAACUGUUUUUCUUGAGUGCAGAAGAGGAGAGUGGAACUCCAUGUGUAGCGGUGGAAUGCGUAGAUAUAUGGAAGAACACCAGUGGCGAAAGGCGGCUCUCUGGUCUGCAACUGACGCUGAGGCUCGAAAGCAUGGGUAGCGAACAGGAUUAGAUACCCUGGUAGUCCAUGCCGUAAACGAUGAGUGCUAAGUGU
rnacentral:rRNA from 1 species